rnacentral:lncRNA from 1 species
AAAAAUUGAGGAAGCAGAAUUAUUUUACACACUUUGGUGGCUGAUUACGGAAGAGAGAGGCUGGUCGAUCAAGAACUUCGGUGGCCGCAAAGUGGGAAAUUAGACGGAACAAAAAGGUUGUUGCUUAUUAGAAUAAAACGAGAAAGACGGAAUCACAUAGCUACAAAGAUACAUGUAGAAAACGACUAGAGCAUAAUUGGAAUUAAUCACGUUCCAUCAAUUUAUUGGUGAUGUCCUUCCUCUUUUAUGUCUUUGAUUUCAACAUUAUGUUAGGCUAAUUUCUCUUAUGUAUUGGAGGAAGAUGAAGCCCUUUAUUAUUUAUUUUUUAUUCGAGACACGUGGUUUAGUUAAAUUUCUGCAGUAUUUUAUUAAUCUUGUAUGUUUAAUUUUAUUAUUUGAUUGCCUGAUCACCAAUUAAAUAUAUAGUGGAUUGUUGUGGUGUUGGGAGGCUCUCAAUAGGUUUAAAACAUUGCUUGAUUAACAUGUGUGCAAUAAAUUUUAGGAAUAAAAUUUAUUACGUGUGCAAUCCGUGAGAUAAUUGUGAAAUUGAAUGCGUUUUAUUCAUUUGAAUUCGAACUACGAAUAGACUCGGGUCGUGAAUAUGAUAAAUUUAAUUUGUCUUGAAAAAGAAAAUUAAUUACAAUAGAAUUAUCAAUUGUCGAGCAUGCAAGAACAUAACUAGCUAAGUUGUUGAGAAUUUGAAUAGAUAAUAAUAUGUGGAUUUGUAAUCCAAUAUACUCUUCCCAUAUAUUUGUUAAAUUCGCAUUUUACUCGCUUUCAUAGAUUAAGUUAGAUUAAUUAAAAUCACAAAACACUUUUAUUUGUUUACUUUGAAUCUAAUUAAACACUCGUAUGCUCAAUUAAAUUUUAUUCUUCGUGGGGCGAUACUCUUAACUCAUCAAAUCUAUUACUUGUCAACGAUUUCGUACGCUUGCGAGUUUUGCACAAACAAAUUUUUGGCGGUGUUGCCGAAGAAUAAUUUAUUUGAUUUGUGUUUAUUAGUUAAUUUUAGAUUUGAAGUAUAUUCUUUUCCUUUUCUUUUUUUUUCUUUACUUUAGUUGUUUUAGGCUAUUUAUUGAACUAUCUAAUUCUCUUGCUUCUCUUUUCAGGGAAUCAUAGUUUAUGCAAAAUUUUGACAAGAUCGAGCUUCUUCCAAUAGAUCCCGAAAUUGAAAGAACUUUUAGACAGCUAAGAAGAGAACAGAGACAAUCGAGAGAAAUGACAGAAAAUCAACAUCCGAAUCAAGUUCAAAAUCAUUUACCAUUAUCCUAGCCAGAUCAACCAAGGGCAGCAGCAAAUCAAGAAGAAGUUUUAGUGAAGGAUUACAUAAAUUCUGUGCCAGCUCCUAUGCAACUGGCUAUCAUAUACCUUUUGGACAGGUCAAUUUCCAUAUUAGACUUGACGUUAUCAACUUAUUCCAAAAUCAUCAAGAUAUCAGGUUCUUUAGGAAAUCAAUCGAAAAUCCUCGUGAACAUAUUAAGGCCUUCUUGAUGCUCUGCAAUUUGAUCAGCCACGAAGGAAUGUCUGUGGAUGCUUUUCAACUGCGCCUAUUUCCUCACACGUUAAAGGAGGGUGCGCGAGAAUGAUUAAAUUCUCUAAUUACGGGGAAUAUUGUUUUAUGGAACGACACGGUGCAAAAGUUCACGUUGAAUUUUUUUCGCCGUUUCGAGUCCAUCAUACUAGAAAUGAAAUCCAUACUUUUAAGCAAAAUGACCUUGAGAGCUAUCCAAAAGCGUGGAAAAGAUUCAAAGAUUAUUUCAGGAAGUGCCCCACCUUGAAUAUCACUAAAGAAUCAAAGAUCUGCAUAUUCUAUUCCGGCUUGAGACCUGAAUUUUGCAACAUCGUCGAUGCCUCCACAGGAAGGUCGAUAUUGGAUAUUUCGUUGAAUAAUGCCUUGGACCUUUUUGAGCAAAUUGUAGAAAAUCAAUCGAUGUGACCGAGCAACAGGGAAGUCCAGAGGAAAACAACUGGUACAUAUAAUGUGGAUGCAGUGAUAGCUAUGACAACACAUAUGGAGGCAAUAACUAGAAAGCCUGACACUUUGACCCAUUAUGUGAAUAUGGUACAAACUUUAGCUCCGAAGUGCGUAGGUUAUGGGGUAGACAAACAAAGAGAAAAGAAUAUUGUUUGAUAUUUAAAAAAACUCAGC